rnacentral:rRNA from 1 species
UAAGGAAUAUUGGUCAAUGGACGCAAGUCUGAACCAGCUAUGCCGCGUGAAGGAUUAAGGUCCUCUGGAUUGUAAACUUCUUUUAUCUGGGACGAAAAAAGGCCUUUCUAGGCUUCUUGACGGUACCAGAUGAAUAAGCACCGGCUAACUCCGUGCCAGCAGCCGCGGUAAUACGGAGGGUGCAAGCGUUAUCCGGAUUCACUGGGUUUAAAGGGUGCGUAGGCGGGCAGGUAAGUCAGUGGUGAAAUCCUGGAGCUCAACUCCAGAACUGCCGUUGAUACUAUCUGUCUUGAAUAUUGUGGAGGUAAGCGGAAUAUGUCAUGUAGCGGUGAAAUGCUUAGAUAUGACAUAGAACACCCAUUGCGAAGGCAGCUUACUACGCAUAUAUUGACGCUGAGGCACGAAAGCGUGGGGAUCAAACAGGAUUAGAUACCCUGGUAGUCCACGCCCUAAACUAUGAUUACUCGACAUUUGUGAUACACUAUAAGUGUCUGAGCGAAAGCAUUAAGUAAUCCACCUGGGAAGUACGUCCGCAAGGAUG